UUACCAUUUGAUAUGGUAUUAAUCUUUUUUUAGACUAUUAAGCCUUUUUUGUGCCUAUUUAGACAGUCGAUCUGUAGGAAUAAACUCCAGUCAUGCGUCGGAGCUGACCACACUUUUUAUAAAU